rnacentral:rRNA from 1 species
GAAGCACGGCGACGUGUGUAGCUGACUGAUACUAAUCGAUCGAGGACUUAACCAAAUU